UGCGCAGGCGGAACUUUAAGUCAGUGGUGAAAUCUUGCCGCUUAACGGUAAAAUUGCCAUUGAUACUGAAGUUCUUGAAUAUGGUUGAGGUAGGCGGAACGUGUUGUGUAGCGGUGAAAUGCAUAGAUAUGACACAGAACUCCGAUUGCGAAGGCAGCUUACUAAACCAUUAUUGACGCUGAGGCACGAAAGCGUGGGGAGCGAACAGGAUUAGAUACCCUGGUAGUCC
rnacentral:rRNA from 1 species